UCUGGUUCUGGGUCAGGCGAAGGCGGGGUGCAGGGUAUUUCUGUUGCUCUAGAAAUGAAAGGAGGGCCGCUCGAUGUUCGAGCCAACGGAGCAAGGA
rnacentral:tRNA from 1 species